rnacentral:rRNA from 1 species
UACGUAGGUGACAAGCGUUGUCCGGAUUUACUGGGCGUAAAGAGCGCGCAGGCGGUCGUUCAAGUCGAGUGUGAAAGCCCCCGGCUCAACUGGGGAGGGUCACUCGAUACUGAUCGACUCGAAGGCAGGAGAGGGAAGUGGAAUUCCCGGUGUAGUGGUGAAAUGCGUAGAUAUCGGGAGGAACACCAGUGGCGAAGGCGACUUCCUGGCCUGUUCUUGACGCUGAGGUGCGAAAGCGUGGGUAGCAAACAGG